rnacentral:rRNA from 1 species
GACGAACGCUGGCGGCGUGCUUAACACAUGCGAGUCGUACGGUAAGGCCCUUUCGGGGGUCCACGAGUGGCGAACGGGUGAGUAACACGUGAGUAACCUGCCCACAACUUUGGGAUAACGCUAGGAAACUGGUGCUAAUACUGGAUAUGUGCUCCUGCUGCAUGGUGGGGGUUGGAAAGCUCCGGCGGUUGUGGAUGGACUCGCGGCCUAUCAGCUUGUUGGUGGGGUAGUGGCCUACCAAGGCGGCGACGGGUAGCCGGCCUGAGAGGGUGACCGGCCACAUUGGGACUGAGAGACGGCCCAGACUCCUACGGGAGGCAGCAGUGGGGAAUAUUGCACAAUGGGCGCAAGCCUGAUGCAGCAACGCCGCGUGCGGGAUGACGGCCUUCGGGUUGUAAACCGCUUUCAGCAGGGACGAAGCUUUUUGUGACGGUACCUGCAGAAGAAGCACCGGCUAACUACGUG